ACUAACAUUCAGUCUGUAGCAAAUGCCCAGGGUCACAUGGCCAGGAGGAGACCCUGCAGAGACAUUCCUAAAGUAGCGGGGUGAACAGAAGGCCCAGAUGGGGAUGCAGAGGAGAGGAAAAGAGGACACCAUAAACUGGUUUUGGAGACUGCACCUUUGUCUAAGAACGUAAGCUGUCUGGAUCCGCUUGGCUCACCUGCAUCCACAGAGCCUACCAGUGUGCCUGGCACCUUGAGGGUCCUCCAA